CAGCAGUCGCCACGGUAAUACGUAGGUGGCAAGCGUUGUCCGGAAUUAUUGGGCGUAAAGGGCUCGCAGGCGGUUUCUUAAGUCUGAUGUGAAAGCCCCCGGCUCAACCGGGGAGGGUCAUUGGAAACUGGGAAACUUGAGUGCAGAAGAGGAGAGUGGAAUUCCACGUGUAGCGGUGAAAUGCGUAGAGAUGUGGAGGAACACCAGUGGCGAAGGCGACUCUCUGGUCUGUAACUGACGCUGAGGAGCGAAAGCGUGGGGGGCGAACAGGAUUAGAUACCCCAGUAGUCCCUGUCUCUUAUAC
rnacentral:rRNA from 1 species